rnacentral:ncRNA from 2 species
AACCUAUGAAGAGUACGCGAGGGACAAGCCCUGUGACCGUACGGCAACCUGCCAAUGGUAAGGUGCCAAAGCUUGAUCGAUGGGAU